GACAACAAGCGAGGCCACGAUGCUGCACACAUUACCUGACAUGGGCACAACAGCCAAUGCAAUGGCUUCCAUAUGGUUACUCAGCAAACCAUCCUUUGACUUUGUCGGUCUUGGCGAGUCCCUGGAGGACCAUCACAGUUAUGAGAUUCCCUCCAGCCAUGUAACAGCUUUUCAAGGAGAGCUUCAAGCGUUAAGCGCACGCAUCAAAAUCAGAAACAAGAGUCUGGAGGUGCCAUACACAUACAUGGAUCCAGCUGUGGUAGAAAAUAGUGUGGCCAUUUGAAUGUCAGAAGGUGUGACCUCCUCAGCUGUUGGCCAAAUUCAAGUAACAAAAAUGAGAAAGGGAAAAUCUGCAUGCUUUGUUUUUAACUGGUACUAUGGUGGAAGGAAGCUACUGCAUGUGAUCAUUUUAUAUUGAUCUGUGAUUUUUAUAUAACCUAACUGAUUUAACUGUGGGGAAAAUCAUCAUGGUUUAAAUCAUAAUUUACAUCUUAGAUCUUCUUAGUAUGUCGGUGAAUAUACAGGGUCUCUUAUCAAACUCAGUUACUGUGGGGAAAAAUAUUAUUUUGCAUUAAGAUUGUAACACUUUAGAAGUAAACUGUGCCUUAUGACUCACUGUCAUAAUGAAGUAUAAAUAAAUGUAGGUACCUAUGUUUUGCUUGAUUUACUGCAUGCUCUGUAUCUGUAUGUUAGAAAAAUAGGAGAGUACUAGAGGACAAAACUUUUAAGUGAACUGUGUCUCUUUCAUCUCGUGUGAAAAACAAGUACUUGUCACUCAGAACAAAGUAAGCUCAGUUUCAUGGAGGACAGGAGGUUCCUGUAACCACAGAAAGAGACAGUGCUUCAGUGAUCCUGUGUUCCAUGAAGGAGAUGUUUCUUUCUGUCCUUGUUUUACACUUUUUAUAAAAACAAUUUCCCUCACUUACAGAAGUUGAAUACAUAAAGUGAAGCUGCUGCAUUGACAAGUUACGGUAUAAACACAUGUAUCAUCCACAAACAAAAUGUGACAAUUUGCAUGUGCUGUAGAAGGGAAAACAAACAUGGUGCAUAUUAAUGUAAAAGUAAUUUGGCUGAUUUGUCAUUGGAUAAUCACAGCAAAGCCCGAAUUAAACACAGUGCCAAACACAUUUGACUUAGCACAUUUAGAUGACAGUUCUUAAUUAAUUAUCCCUAUAUUCAGCACAUCUUCAUAUUAUAGAAAUUUGCUCUUAUUUUGUUAUGAUGUGGCAUGAAAUGUUAAUCUGUGUGUGUGAAUUAAUACAUUUAAUACUUUCUCUGGGUGGUGAUUUUUGAUCAAUACUUUCUACUGUCACUAAGGUCUACUGUAAACUUAAAUAAAGUACUGAUUAAGUCUA